UAGAGUUUGAUCAUGGCUCAGAUUGAACGCUGGCGGCAGGCCUAACACAUGCAAGUCGAGCGGUAACAGAUUGAUAGCUUGCUAUCAAUGCUGACGAGCGGCGGACGGGUGAGUAAUGCCUGGGAAUAUGCCCUGAUGUGGGGGAUAACUAUUGGAAACGAUAGCUAAUACCGCAUAAUCUCUUCGGAGCAAAGAGGGGGACCUUCGGGCCUCUCGCGUCAGGAUUAGCCCAGGUGGGAUUAGCUUGUUGGUGGGGUAAUGGCUCACCAAGGCAACGAUCCCUAGCUGGUCUGAGAGGAUGAUCAGCCACACUGGAACUGAGACACGGUCCAGACUCCUACGGGAGGCAGCAGUGGGGAAUAUUGCACAAUGGGGGAAACCCUGAUGCAGCCAUGCCGCGUGUAUGAAGAAGGCCUUCGGGUUGUAAAGUACUUUCAGUUGUGAGGAAGGCGUUGAAGUUAAUAGCUUCAACAUUUGACGUUAGCAACAGAAGAAGCACCGGCUAACUCCGUGCCAGCAGCCGCGGUAAUACGGAGGGUGCGAGCGUUAAUCGGAAUUACUGGGCGUAAAGCGCAUGCAGGUGGUCUGUUAAGCAAGAUGUGAAAGCCCGGGGCUCAACCUCGGAACAGCAUUUUGAACUGGCAGACUAGAGUACUGUAGAGGGGGGUAGAAUUUCA
rnacentral:rRNA from 1 species